rnacentral:misc_RNA from 1 species
GAAAUGCGAUAAGUAAUGUGAAUUGCAGAAUUCAGUGAAUCAUCGAAUCUUUGAACGCACCUUGCGCUCCUUGGUAUUCCUUGGAGCAUGCCUGUUUGAGUAUCAUGAAAUCUUCAAAGUAAAUCUUUUGUUAACUCAAUUGGUUUCUACUUUGGUAUUGGAGGUCUUUGCAGCUUCACACCUGCUCCUCUUUGUUCAUUAGCUGGAUCUCAGUGUUAUGCUUGGUUCCACUCGGCGUGAUAAGUUAUCUAUCGCUGAGGACACUGUAAAAGGUGGCCAAGGUAAAUGCAGAUGAACUGCUUCUAAUAGUCCAUUGACUUGGACAAUACUUUUAUGAUUUGAUCUCAAAUCAGGUAGGACUACCCGCUGAACUUAAGC